ensembl:lncRNA
CAUUUUAGCAUACAUGUUGACUCUGGCAGCAAUAUAUAUUCUGUACGUUGCCUAGCUCCAUUCCAACCUAUUCAUACAGGAGUGCUGUGCCUGCUUUGGAACUGCCUUGCGCUAUUUUCACAGAUUUCCUCCACUGGUCCUGAAAACUAACCACCAUGCAACGUGACAAGGUGAAAAGGAGAAAUCCCUCCAAGAUGAAAUGGGGUAGUAAAGGGAAGCAGUAAUUAAACGAUGACCUGUGGAAUGUAUUAUUGAUCCCUGAGAGGCUGGGUGAGAUGCAGGAAGACUAGAUGAGGAAAAGUACAGUAAAUAUCCUCAAAAAGCAAGGCAAAACAGACAAGCAUCUCCUAGGACUGACACCAAUAUAACUGAUUCAGCCUUAUAAGUAAGAGGAAGAACUUAAAGACGUCUUCAGAUCCUUACCAGUAUUCUGAUGAUGUAAGCAAUCAAAUGCUGUUCAAAAGAAACUCAAGCAAUAGACAACAACCUGGAAUUUUCAAGAUAUAGUGUGAGAAAACACUGGAUGAGGAGAAAAAUAAUGUUGAUAACACCCUGAUGUUUUACUUGUUGCUGAACAGUGCUGUACAGAGCCAAGGAUGCUUCAGCUUCUCACACUGUCCUGCCAGCGACAGGGGCUGAGGGGCACAAGCAGCUGGGAGGGGACAAAACCAGGACAGCUGAUCUAAACUUGCCAAAGGGAUAUUCCAUACCACAUAACAUCAUGUGAAAAAAAAACUAUGAAAUCGAGGGGAGUUGGCUGAGGAAUGGCUGCUGUUCAGGGCCUGGUUGGGUAUUGGUUGGUGGGUGGUGAGCAACGUGCUGUGUAUCCCUUGUUUUGUAAAUCUGUAAUUAUCGUGACUAUUAUUUUUCUCUUCCUUUUCUGUCAUAGUAGAUAGUUGUUUUUUUUAUCUCAACCUACGAGUUUUACUUCUUUUUUCACUUACAGUUCUCUCCCACAUCCCUCAGUGUGGAGGGCGAUGGUAGAAUGGCUAAGUGGUUCUGAGCUGCUUCCAGGUUAAACCACAGCACUUCUAUUUGAAAUUGUCUUCCUACUUUAAGUAAUGUUCCUAGUUUAAGUAAUGUUCCUACUGGUAACAUAACCAGUGAAAUUGUUCCAUAUCAAAGAUAAAUAUAUAUUUAUAUAUAUAUAUAAUUCUACAUAACCUGUUAAUUUUUUGUUGUUGUUGUUUUAAUGAAUAAACAUUUUGGUCUAUAUAUUUGUCAAAGUUUUCUCCUGGCUUUACGAGUCUAACACAUGCAAUCUAUCGGUCACUGAGAGCUCAUUUGCUGCAGUAACGUUCUUUGACUGCUACAAAGAGGGGAGAGGGGGGGGGAUGGACCAGCAAUUUUUUGAAAUGUUAUUCCAUGGCAAAUUUGGCCAAAGAAUAUGCUGUACUUAAACCAUGACUGCAGGAUAGCAUACACAUACCUCAUUGCUUGCAGCAGUUUUUUCAUUUGGCCCUCACUCAUUUUCU